rnacentral:rRNA from 1 species
UACAGAGGGGGCAAGCGUUAUUCGGAAUUAUUGGGCGUAAAGGGCGCGUAGGCGGCCUGGCAAGUGGAAGGUGAAAUCCCUCGGCUUAACCGAGGAACUGCCUCCCAAACUGCUUGGCUUGAGACCGGGAGAGGUGAGUGGAAUUCCCAGUGUAGCGGUGAAAUGCGUAGAUAUUGGGAGGAACACCAAUGGCGAAGGCAGCUCGCUGGGACGGUACUGACGCUGAGACGCGAAAGCGUGGGGAGCAAACAGG